AGUCAUAUGCUUGUCUCAAAGACUAAGCCAUGCAUGUCUAAGUAUAAGUAUUAUACAGCGAAACUGCGAAUGGCUCAUUAAAACAGUUAUAGUUUAUUUGAUAAUCGAAUUUACAUGGAUAACCGUGGUAAUUCUAGAGCUAAUACAUGCUGGUGUGCCCGACUUUUGCGGAAGGGCGGUAUUUAUUAGAUAACAAACCAAUAUUCCUCGUGUCUAUUGUGGUGACUCAUAAUAACUGAUCGAAUCGCAAGGCCCUUGGCCGCGAUAAGUCAUUCAAGUUUCUGCCCCAUCAGCUUUCGAUGGUAGUGUAUUGGACUACCAUGGCGUUUACGGGUAACGGAGGAUUAGAGUUCGAUUCCGGAGAGGGAGCCUGAGAAACGGCUACCACAUCUAAGGAAGGCAGCAGGCGCGUAAAUUACCCAAUCCUGACUCAGGGAGGUAGUGACAAGAAAUAACGGACCGAGGCCUUCGGGCUUCGGGAUUGCAAUGAGCCGAAUUUACACCCCUUAGCGAGGAUCAAU
rnacentral:rRNA from 1 species